rnacentral:SRP_RNA from 1 species
AAAAAAGAAAAAAAAAUGAUGGUUCAAUGGCUAGGCUCACCAGGCCAUAUGGGCUGAGAAUACUGCAGCCUGUGAUCCCUCCACUGUCAAGAGAAGGAAGUGUUCACUGCUCUGUGAAACCAGCCUCAUGCGGAUCCCUCCGUUCUAGUGACCAGGAGAUCUGAGCCUUCGCCCAAAUCCCAUGGCCCAACUCUCAACUUGGAGUGGGCAGGCCAGCAUAAUGUACCCUACAGCCCAACCUGUUAAGACACAAUCAUGUUCCAUCACCUUGUUGCUCCCACAUGGGUUACAAGUUGGUGUAAAUCAACUCAGCGA